CAUGCUGCAGGGUCAAGGGCGGAGAAUAAAUAGAGUCAAACAGAAACUAAACAAACCUCAAAUAAACACCUGAUAGAGCACACACUCAAACAUAGAGCAGACAAAACCCAGAGAAGAUCAGGUCAACAUGACCGCUAUACUGCAGAGUUAUUGUGAUAGAAAACAGCACCGACAAUGCACUUGACGGCUUUGAGAUAUUCACACAUCACUAAAAAAUGAUUCGUUGGCUCAACAAACAAUUUCCAGUGAAAUGUCCAGAUGGGGGCGCCAAAAGCAAGUAAAAUGGUGUCGUAUUCAGACGAGGUUUUAAGACUAAAAACCAGUGCCAACCACAUCUAGAAGGCUACAGUGAUGCCAUGGAGAGUCAAAAACACAGAGAGGAUAAGAGGAAAACCGCCACACCUGCCAGCUGUAAAAUCCUGUUAGGAGGAAAAACCUUUCCCUGUAUCCCUGAAGGCAUGAUCUCAAUCCAGCCCCCCAUCUCAAACUCCAGCAUCAGACAAACACAACACGGGCUUCAGACAAACAACAUUUCCUGUAAGCGAGGAGCUGAUCCAAUUUGCGGUGCUGUUACAGUGAAGGCGGUUAGUGGGAGGUCUGAGUGUCACUGAUGCAUCGAGACAUUUGCUCAAUGAGACACAAACGCAUCAGAGAGGGGGUCCUGUUCCAGUAAACACCCGGUGGGGGGGCGUCUGUGAUUGCUCACGUCUAAUUUGUGUUUCUCUCUAACCAUUACCCCCUGCUCUACAACCCUGUCAUCCAGAGUUCUUCUGCCCUGAGUACAUACGAGAGAACGCCUCUCAAAAAUCAAGAGCAUUUGUUUCAUCCGUGGGUGAAUCUCACCAAAACUGUAAAGAACAUGCCCAAGUCAUAUUUCACUCCAAAAAUCAAAAAGGUACAAAUAUUCUAAAUAAAGAAAAUGAAGCAUAUUUUUAGGCCCAAUACGAUUGUUUGCAUUGUUUUCAUGACAAUUAAGAACUUUUGAACCCCCUAAAUUCUCAUUUCCUUAGGGCAAAAAUAUAUAAUUAUCCACAAGAUUAUGUUUUUCGCACUAAGGUAAUGAGAAUUUGGGGGUAAAUGUGCUGAAUUGUCAUGAAAAUAAUAUCACAACACCAACAACCUUAAUGAUCCUAUAAACGGUUCAUUUUCUUUAUGCAAUGGGUUAGUAUAAUAAUACAAAUGAUUAUUUUUUUCUUUGAUUCCGGGGUGAAAUAAGAGCCAGACAUAGGGCUGCACAAUUAAAAGAAUAAAUAACCGAGAUUAUAGUCGAGAUUAUAAUGAGAGGUCGCCUGAUACUGGAUUUCGCAGAUAACGAUAACUAAGUUGGUGGGACAGGCCGAUAACCGAUUAAUCGGUAGAUAAUUU